CGCGUAGGUGGUCUUGUAAGUUUGUGGUGAAAGCCCGGGGCUCAACCCCGGGUCUGCCGCGGAUACUGCGAGACUUGAGUACUGUAGAGGCAGGUAGAAUAUCGGGUGUAGCGGUGGAAUGCGUAGAGAUCCGAUAGAAGACCGGUGGCGAAGGCGGCCUGCUGGGCAGUAACUGACACUGAGGCGCGACAGCGUGGGGAGCAAACAGGAUUAGAUACCCUGGUAGUCCACGCCGUAAACGAUGGGUACUAGGUGCUUGGGGGAGCGACCCCCUGAGUGCCGGCGCUAACGCAGGAAGUACCCCGCCUGGGGAGUACGGCCGCAAGGCUGAA
rnacentral:rRNA from 1 species